rnacentral:rRNA from 1 species
UACAGAGGUCUCAAGCGUUGUUCGGAUUCAUUGGGCGUAAAGGGUGCGUAGGUGGCGGGGUAAGUCAGGGGUGAAAUUUCGGAGCUUAACUCCGAAACUGCAUUUGAUACUGCCUUGCUUGAGGACUGGAGAGGAGACUGGAAUUCAUGGUGUAGCAGUGAAAUGCGUAGAGAUCAUGAGGAAGACCAGUGGCGAAGGCGGGUCUCUGGACAGUUCCUGACACUGAGGCACGAAGGCUAGGGGAGCAAACGGG